rnacentral:rRNA from 1 species
UACGGAGGGUGCAAGCGUUAAUCGGAAUUACUGGGCGUAAAGCGCACGCAGGCGGUCUGUUAAGUCAGAUGUGAAAUCCCCGGGCUUAACCUGGGAACUGCAUUUGAAACUGGAAGGCUUGAGUCUCGUAGAGGGGGGUAGAAUUCCAGGUGUAGCGGUGAGAUGCGUAGAGAUCUGGAGGAAUACCGGUGGCGAAGGCGGCCCCCUGGACGAAGACUGACGCUCAGGUGCGAAAGCGUGGGGAGCAAACAGG